GGCCAUGGCUCAAUGUUUGAGCAUCUGCUUUGCACACAGAAGGUCCCAGGUUCAAUUUCUGGCAUCUCCA